AAGAAAGUAUGCAAGAACUGCUAACUCAUGCCCCCGUGCCUAACAGUACGGCUUUCUUGC
rnacentral:tRNA from 1 species